CCUACGGUGGGCAGCAGUCGAGAAUCAUUCACAAUGGGGGAAACCCUGAUGGUGCGACGCCGCGUGGGGGAAUGAAGGUCUUCGGAUUGUAAACCCCUGUCAUGUGGGAGCAAAUUAAAAAGAUAGUACCACAAGAGGAAGAGACGGCUAACUCUGUGCCAGCAGCCGCGGUAAUCCAGAGGUCUCAAGCGUUGUUCGGAUUCACUGGGCGUAAAGCGUGCGUAGGCUGUUUCGUAAGUCGGGAGUGAAAGGCGCGGGCUCAACCCGCGGACGGCACAUGAUACUGCGAGACUAGAGUAAUGGAGGGGGAAGCGGAAUUCUUGGUGUAGCAGGGAAAUGCGUAGAUAUCGAGAGGAACACUCGUGGCGAAGGCGGGUUGCUGGACAUUAACUGACGCUGAGGCACGAAGGCCAGGGGAGCGAAAGGGAUUAGAUACCCCAGUAGUC
rnacentral:rRNA from 1 species